rnacentral:siRNA from 1 species
UCUCUGGAAAUAGCGAAUGGCG